rnacentral:rRNA from 1 species
CCCUUAGAUGUUCUGGGCCGCACGCGUGCUACACUGAGUGGAUCAGCGGGUCAGGUUGCGCGAAAGCGUUUCCUAAUCUUGAAAUCCGCUCGUGAUGGGGAUUGACGGUUGCAAUUUUCUGUCAUGAACGAGGAAUACCUUGUAAGCGCGAGUCAUCAUCCCGCGCUGAAUACGUCCCUGCCCUUUGUACACACCGCCCGUCGCUCCUACCGAUUGGGUGUGCUGGUGAAAUGUUCGGAUCGGCCGUUUGUCGCGGUUUCCGCGUCAUGUGGCUGAGAAGUUCAUUAAACCCUCCCACCUAGAGGAAGGAGAAGUCGUAACA